UACAGAGGUGGCAAGCGUUGUUCGGAAUUACUGGGCGUAAAGGGCGCGUAGGCGGCUUGGUCAGUCCCGUGUGAAAUCCCUCGGCUCAACUGAGGAACUGCACGGGAAACUGCCUGGCUUGAGUUCGGGAGAGGGAAGCGGAAUUCCGGGUGGUAGCGAUGAAAUGCGUAGAUAUCCGGAGGAACACCGGUGGCGAAGGCGGCUUCCUGGACCGACACUGACGCUGAGGCGCGAAAGCUAGGGGAGCAAACGGG
rnacentral:rRNA from 1 species